UACGAAGGGUGCAAGCGUUACUCGGAAUUACUGGGCGUAAAGCGUGCGUAGGCGGUCUGUUAAGUCCGUUGUGAAAGCCCUGGGCUCAACCUGGGAAUUGCAGUGGAUACUGGCGGGCUAGAGUGCGGUAGAGGAUGGUGGAAUUCCCGGUGUAGCGGUGAAAUGCGUAGAGAUCGGGAGGAACACCCGUGGCGAAGGCGGCCAUCUGGACCAGCACUGACGCUGAGGCACGAAAGCGUGGGGAG
rnacentral:rRNA from 1 species